AGGAUAAUAGUUUAUAAUAAACAUUUAAAUUGCAAUUAAAAAUCUUGCUUACGCAAUUAUCUUA
rnacentral:tRNA from 1 species